rnacentral:tRNA from 1 species
GAUCUUCAGUGGUCCGGUGACGGACGGGUCGUUCAUGUCGACCCGGGCACGCGUCUUGUUCCACACGAGGUAGGUCGC